GUUAGUCGGGAGCUAAGCCGAGGCCGUAAGGAAUAGGUGAUGCACAGCAGGUUUAAUAUUCCUGCACCGAUUUGCGACUAUCCCAUCGAUGACGAAUGAUUGAGAUCUACAGACCCGUUUUGACAGGGCACUGUGCGGCUACGGCCAAGCAGGUGUAGGUGGAUGUUGUUCCGAGAAAAGUUGAUGGGGAACUACGCAGGUUGCCCGUACCGCAAACCGAC
rnacentral:rRNA from 1 species